rnacentral:rRNA from 1 species
UACGUAGGUGGCAAGCGUUGUCCGGAAUUAUUGGGCGUAAAGCGCGCGCAGGCGGUUCUUUAAGUCUGAUGUGAAAGCCCACGGCUCAACCGUGGAGGGUCAUUGGAAACUGGAGAACUUGAGUACAGAAGAGGAAAGCGGAAUUCCACGUGUAGCGGAUGAAAUGCGUAGAGAUGUGGAGGAACACCAGUGGCGAAGGCGGCUUUCUGGACGGUAACUGACGCUGAGGAGCGAAAGCGUGGGGAGCGAACAGG